rnacentral:rRNA from 1 species
UACGAAGGGUGCAAACGUUGCUCGGAAUCACUGGGCGUAAAGCGCACGUAGGCGGAUCUUUAAGUCAGGGGUGAAAUCCCGAGGCUCAACCUCGGAACUGCCCUUGAUACUGGGGAUCUCGAGUCCGGAAGAGGUUGGUGGAACUCCGAGUGUAGAGGUGAAAUUCGUAGAUAUUCGGAAGAACACCAGUGGCGAAGGCGGCCAACUGGUCCGGCACUGACGCUGAGGUGCGAAAGCGUGGGGAGCAAACAGG